rnacentral:lncRNA from 1 species
GAAAGAAGAAAGAAUCACAAAGUUGUUGAGGUUAAUUCACUUAGAUGUUAGUGGCACUUGUCCACAAACAUAAAUACUACUCAUGUUGAUUGACAUUCACCGAAGAUCACUCUCGGUUGGACUAUAGUUUAUUUUGAAUAAACACAAGUCCGAAUACUUUGCAAAAUGUUUCAAAGAAUUCAAGUAAUGUAAGUUGAUGAGUAAGACAUCUAAAGUAUUUACCUCCUUAGAUUUGAUCCAAGAAAGGUAACACUUUAGAUAAGUUUCCUUGAAAGAUAUCAAGGAAAAUAGCAUCAUAAGAUAAUGUAUUUCUCCAUUAGGAGAAGAACGAACUCGAAUAAGUUUUAGUUCGUUAGAUGUUAUCUAUUACCCAUAUAUAGGAUAUAUACUUCUAAAAACAAUAUGAUUGUCAAUGAGAAGAUCUUCCAAUAUUUUCAUGACUCCAUAAGAUGUAGUUGGAAAGAAAGACAAAUCUUAAGCAUGUUAAGAUUUGGGGUUGUGUGCUAACAAGCAAUAUUUGUUUGAUAAUAAUCUUGUAGGAUAUCCUUAAAAUAACUUUUGGAUAUCGCUUCUAUAAACCAACUAACAAAUGUUGUUUUGUUGGGUAGUUCAUUGUAAUUCUACAAUGUGAUUUGCCUAAAAGCAAAUGAACGAGAGAUAGAACUCGAAGAAUGGGUUCUUUGAGAGACAAGAUAGUAAUCAACAAAUAUA